rnacentral:rRNA from 1 species
UGAAUACGAGAUGCUAAGGCGUCGAAGUAGUGUAUGUCAUACUUCCAAGAAAAGCUUGCACUGUCAUAAAUAAAGAAUGCCUGUACCAUAACCGACACAGGUGGGUAGGUAGAGUAUACUAAGGGGCGCGAGAUAACUCUCUCCAAGGAACUCGGCAAAAUAACUCCGUAACUUCGGGAGAAGGAGUGCCUUAUUCGUAAGGCUGCAAUAACAAGAUCCAAGCAACUGUUUAUCAAAAACACAGGUCUCCGCUAAGUCGUAAGACGAUGUAUGGGGGCUGACGCCUGCCCAGUGCCAGAAGGUUAAAGAAGUUGGUUAGCAUUAGCGAAGCUGAUAACUGAAGCCCUGGUGAACGGCGGCCGUAACAAUAACGGUCCUAAGGUAGCGAAAUUCCUUGUCGGGUAAGUUCCGACCCGCACGAAAGGCGUAAUGAUUUGGAUACUGUCUCGGAGAGGGGCUCGGUGAAAUAGACUUGUCUGUGAAGAUGCGGACUACCUGCACCAGGACAGAAAGACCCUAUGAAGCUUUACUGUAACUUGAAAUUGAAAUUGGACUUUAGUCGCGCAGUAUAGGUGGGAGGCUUUGAUGAUACUCUUGCGGGAGUAUUGGAGCUAUCAGUGAGAUACCACUCUUCUAAUGUUAGAUUUCUAACUUUGAACCAUUAUCUGGUCAGAGAACAGUUUCAGGCGGGCAGUUUGACUGGGGCGGUCGCCUCCUAAAUGGUAACGGAGGCGUACAAAGGUUUCCUCUGAACGGGUAGAAAUCGUAUCUAGAGUGUAAAGGCAUAAGGAAGCUUGACUGUGAGACCUACAAGUCGAACAGGGACGAAAGUCGGUCUUAGUGAUCAGACGGUACUGAGUGGAAAGGCCGUCACUCAACGGAUAAAAGUUACUCUAGGAUAACAGGCUGAUCUCCCCCAAGAGUUCACAUCGACGGGGAGGUUUGGCACCUCGAUGUCGGCUCAUCGCAUCCUGGGGCGGUAGUACGUCCCAAGGGUUGGGCUGUUCGCCCAUGAAAGCGGUACGCGAGCUGGGUUCAGAACGUCGUGAGACAGUUCGGUCCAUAUCCGGUGUAGGCGUUAGAAUAUUGAGAGGAGCCUUCUUUAGUACGAGAGGACCGAGAAGGACAUACCUAUGGUGUACCAGUUAUCGUGCCAACGGUAAACGCUGGGUAGCUAAGUAUGGAGUGGAUAACCGCUGAAAGCAUCUAAGUGGGAAGCCCACCUCAAGAUGAGUAUUCUCU